rnacentral:rRNA from 1 species
UAAGGAAUAUUGGUCAAUGGACGCAAGUCUGAACCAGCCAUGCCGCGUGGAGGAUGAAGGUCCUCUGGAUUGUAAACUUCUUUUAUCUGGGACGAAACACUUCUUUUCUAAGAGGCCUGACGGUACCAGAUGAAUAAGCACCGGCUAACUCCGUGCCAGCAGCCGCGGUAAUACGGAGGGUGCAAGCGUUAUCCGGAUUCACUGGGUUUAAAGGGUGCGUGGGUGGGUAUGUAAGUCAGUGGUGAAAUCCCCGAGCUUAACUUGGGAACUGCCAUUGAUACUAUAUAUCUUGAAUACCGUAGAGGUAAGCGGAAUAUGUCAUGUAGCGGUGAAAUGCUUAGAUAUGACAUGGAACACCAAUUGCGAAGGCAGCUUACUAUGCGGUGAUUGACACUGAGGCACGAAAGCGUGGGUAGCAAACA